AGAGUCGUCUGGAUCAUCGCGUUACGAAAGUACCGAGGAAAGUCCGGACUCCAAAGAGUAAGGUGAUGGCUAACGGCCAUCCAGGGAAACCUGCGGGAUUAGUGCCACAGAAAAUAAACCGCCGUUAGCAAUAACGGUAAGGAUGAAACGGUGGUGUAAGAGACCACCAGCAUUUACGGCAACGUAUAUGGCUAGGUAAACCCCACCUGGAGCAAGACCAGAUUGUUGGCAUUUGAGAGCUACUCGCUCGAGCCAACGGGUAGGUUGCUUGAAUCUGUAAGCAAUUACAGAUCUAGAUGGAUGAUGAUCUCUCGCAAGAGAACAGGAUCCGGCUUAUAGGGCGACUCUUCUU
rnacentral:RNase_P_RNA from 1 species